rnacentral:rRNA from 1 species
AUUGAACGCUGGCGGCAUGCUUUACACAUGCAAGUCGAACGGUAACAGGCCUUCGGGUGCUGACGAGUGGCGAACGGGUGAGUAAUGCAUCGGAACGUGCCCAGAGGUGGGGGAUAACGCAGCGAAAGCUGUGCUAAUACCGCAUGUGAUCUGAGGAUGAAAGCGGGGGACCAGGCAGCAAUGUUUGGCCUCGCGCCUUUGGAGCGGCCGAUGUCAGAUUAGGUAGUUGGUGGGGUCAAGGCCUACCAAGCCGACGAUCUGUAGCUGGUCUGAGAGGACGACCCGACACACUGGGACUGAGACACGGCCCAGACUCCUACGGGAGGCAGCAGUGGGGAAUUUUGGACAAUGGGCGCAAGCCUGAUCCAGCAAUGCCGCGUGCGGGAAGAAGGCCUUCGGGUUGUAAACCGCUUUUGUACGGAACGAAAAGGCUCUGGCUAAUACCUGGGGCUGAUGACGGUACCGUAAGAAUAAGCACCGGCUAACUACGUG